UGGGGAAUAUUGCGCAAUGGGCGAAAAGCCUGACGCAGCGACGCCGCGUGAGCGACGAAGGCCUUCGGGUCGUAAAGCUCUGUUGUUGGGGACGAAGGGUUAGGGGUUAAUAGCCCCGAGCCUGACGGUACCCUUCGAGGAAGCCCCGGCUAACUACGUGCCAGCAGCCGCGGUAAUACGUAGGGGGCGAGCGUUGUCCGGAAUCAUUGGGCGUAAAGAGCGUGUAGGCGGUUCGGUAAGUCCGCCGUGAAAACCUGGGGCUCAACCCUGGGCGUGCGGUGGAUACUGUCGGGCUAGAGGAUGGUAGAGGGGAGUGGAAUUCCCGGUGUAGCGGUGAAAUGCGCAGAUAUCGGGAGGAACACCAGUAGCGAAGGCGGCUCCCUGGGCCAUUCCUGACGCUGAGACGCGAAAGCUAGGGGAGCGAACAGGAUUAGAUACCCUGGUAGUCCUAGCCGUAAACGAUGAACACUAGGUGUGGGGGGAGUCGAAUCCCUCUGUGCCGCAGCCAACGCGAUAAGUGUUCCGCCUGGGGAGUACGGCCGC
rnacentral:rRNA from 1 species